rnacentral:rRNA from 1 species
GAUGAACGCUGGCGGCGUGCUUAACACAUGCAAGUCGAACGGUGAACGAGGGAGCUUGCUCCCUCCGGAUCAGUGGCGAACGGGUGAGUAACACGUGAGCAAUCUGCCCUGGACUCUGGGAUAAGCGUUGGAAACGACGUCUAAUACCGGAUACGAGGCGUGGGGGCAUCCCCAACGCCUGGCAAGAACUUCGGUCCAGGAUGAGCUCGCGGCCUAUCAGCUAGUUGGGGAGGUAACGGCUCACCAAGGCGACGACGGGUAGCCGGCCUGAGAGGGUGACCGGCCACACUGGGACUGAGACACGGCCCAGACUCCUACGGGAGGCAGCAGUGGGGAAUAUUGCACAAUGGGCGCAAGCCUGAUGCAGCAACGCCGCGUGAGGGACGACGGCCUUCGGGUUGUAAACCUCUUUUAGCAGGGAAGAAGCGAAAGUGACGGUACCCGCAGAAAAAGCACCGGCUAACUACGUGCCAGCAGCCGCAGUAAUAC